AGAGUUUGAUCUGGCUCAGGAUGAACGCUAGCGACAGGCUUAACACAUGCAAGUCGAGGGGCAGCGGGGGAGUAGCAAUACUCCCGCCGGCGACCGGCGCACGGGUGAGUAACACGUAUGAAACCUGCCCGUAGCAGGGGGAUAAGCGGAAGAAAUUCCGUCUAAUACCGCGUAACAACCCGAGGAGGCAUCUCCUCGGGUUUAAAGGAGGCGAUUCCGGCUACGGAUGGUCAUGCGUCGCAUUAGCUAGUUGGCGGGGUAACGGCCCACCAAGGCGACGAUGCGUAGGGGUUCUGAGAGGAAGGUCCCCCACACUGGUACUGAGACACGGACCAGACUCCUACGGGAGGCAGCAGUGAGGAAUAUUGGUCAAUGGCCGAGAGGCUGAACCAGCCAAGUCGCGUGAGGGAAGAAUGUCCUAUGGAUUGUAAACCUCUUUUGUCAGGGAGCAAAGUCACCCACGUGUGGGUGCUGGAGAGUACCUGAAGAAAAAGCAUCGGCUAACUCCGUGCCAGCAGCCGCGGUAAUACGGAGGAUGCGAGCGUUAUCCGGAUUUAUUGGGUUUAAAGGGUGCGUAGGCGGGUUAUCAAGUCAGCGGUAAAAUCGUGGAGCUCAACUCCAUCCAGCCGUUGAAACUGAUGAUCUUGAGUGGGCGAGAAGUAUGCGGAAUGCGUGGUGUAGCGGUGAAAUGCAUAGAUAUCACGCAGAACUCCGAUUGCGAAGGCAGCAUACCGGCGCCCGACUGACGCUGAAGCACGAAAGCGUGGGUAUCGAACAGGAUUAGAUACCCUGGUAGUCCACGCAGUAAACGAUGAAUACUAAUUGUGUGCUCCGAAUGAGGAGUGCGUGAUACAGCGAAAGCGUUAAGUAUUCCACCUGGGGAGUACGCCGGCAACGGUGAAACUCAAAGGAAUUGACGGGGGCCCGCACAAGCGGAGGAACAUGUGGUUUAAUUCGAUGAUACGCGAGGAACCUUACCCGGGCUCAAACGCAGGAGGGAUGUUUUUGAAAGGAGGCAGCUCUACGGAGUCUCCUGCGAGGUGCUGCAUGGUUGUCGUCAGCUCGUGCCGUGAGGUGUCGGCUUAAGUGCCAUAACGAGCGCAACCCCUACCGCCAGUUGCCAACGGGUAAAGCCGGGAACUCUGGCGGGACUGCCGGCGCAAGCUGUGAGGAAGGCGGGGAUGACGUCAAAUCAGCACGGCCCUUACGUCCGGGGCGACACACGUGUUACAAUGGCAGGUACAGCGGGAAGCCACUUGGCGACAAGGCGCGGAACCCGAAAACCUGUCUCAGUUCGGAUUGGAGUCUGCAACCCGACUCCAUGAAGCUGGAUUCGCUAGUAAUCGCGCAUCAGCCACGGCGCGGUGAAUACGUUCCCGGGCCUUGCACUCACCGCCCGUCA
rnacentral:rRNA from 1 species